UGACAAUUACUGUCCAACUCAAUUUUCAGUGCGUUUUAUAAUCUGGUGCGCCUCAUGUAUGAAUUUUACCAGUCAAGUCGUAAGGAGCAGUAAAGUCACUCUGCUAAAGUCCAGCUAUUUACAGGAGUUUCAGUUCAGUUCUCCAGCAGUAUUAGCAUUAGCUGCUAAGCGCUAGCUCUUUUGCCAUUUAGAGGUGAGAAUCAUCAGCCUGUAUCCUGCUUCUAACCCCGGAUAGCACUGCUGGAGCAGCUUUAGCAUUAGCCGAUAACUACGGUGCUAGCUCUUUUGCUGUUCAGAGAAGCAGCCCACUCAUGAAAGCUGCAUUUACCAUCUGUGUUGACGUGUUGGCUGUGACGAGGAUGAGAAUCAAUAUGAGCAAGAAGACUCAGAGUUUUAUGCAGUAUGGAAGUUUAGGUUGGCUUCUUCACAAAGCAGCGACAAGUUUAAAGAACAGAACAAAACUUCAGAAGGUUCUUCUCACUUCAGAGACUUCAAAAAGCCAGACGUUUCUAACCUGAGACUGAGCAUUAAUAAUUUAUCCAUCUCUUUACAAGACAAGGAGGAAACAUCUUUGAUCUGCUUUCACUGUGAUUGGAGUCUAAAUAUUACAUGUAAUUUGCAAGACAUGUAAUGGACAUGGUCUCCCACAUUAGAACAAGGUGCAUGAAAAAUGCCUGCACAUUAUAUAAGUCAGGACACUAUAUAUAUACAAGCUGGAGAAUAAUAUGAAAUUUGUGGAGACAGCCAUUUUGUCCUAUAUGUUUGUCCUUGCUUCAUGUAGAGCAAAAACAGAGCAAGAAACCUACACAGGAAAAUCCAAAGUGUUAAAAUCACAGGGUAAACAUAUUUAAACAUGAAUUCAGUGUUUCUUCUAGUUGUG